GACGAAGGAUGCAAGCGUUAUCCGGAUUCAUUGGGUUUAAAGGGAGCGUAGGUGGUCUUAUAAGUCAGUGGUGAAAUCUCGCAGCUUAACUGCGAAACUGCCAUUGAUACUGUAGGACUUUGAGUAUAGUUGCUGUGGGCGGAAUAUGACAUGUAGUGGUGAAAUACUUAGAGAUGUCAUAGAACACCAAUAGCGAAGGUAGCUUGCUACACGGUAAUUGACACUCAGGCACGAAAGCGUGGGGAGCAAACAGG
rnacentral:rRNA from 1 species